ACCCGGAGGAAGAGAAAGAAAAAUCGAUUCCCUGAGUAGCGGCGAGCGAAACGGGAAGAGCCCAAACCAAUAAGCUUGCUUAUUGGGGUUGUAGGACACUCUAUACGGAGUUACAAAGGAAUAUAUUAGACGAAUCAUCUGGAAAGUUGAAUCAAAGAAGGUAAUAAUCCUGUAGUUGAAAAUAUAUUCUCUCUUGAGUGGAUCCUGAGUACGACGGAGCACGUGAAAUUCCGUCGGAAUCUGGGAGGACCAUCUCCUAAGGCUAAAUACUCUCUAGUGACCGAUAGUGAACCAGUACCGUGAGGGAAAGGUGAAAAGUACCCCGGAAGGGGAGUGAAAGAGAACUUGAAACCGUGUGCUUACAAGUAGUCAGAGCCCGUUAAUGGGUGAUGGCGUGCCUUUUGUAGAAUGAACCGGCGAGUUACGAUCUGAUGCAAGGUUAAGCAGGAAAUGUGGAGCCGUAGCGAAAGCGAGUCUGAAUAGGGCGUUGAGUAUUUGGUCGUAGACCCGAAACCAGGUGAUCUACCCAUGGUCAGGUUGAAGUUCAGGUAACACUGAAUGGAGGACCGAACCGACUUACGUUGAAAAGUGAGCGGAUGAACUGUGGGUAGCGGAGAAAUUCCAAUCGAACUUGGAGAUAGCUGGUUCUCUCCGAAAUAGCUUUAGGGCUAGCCUCAAGUGAUGAUUAUUGGAGGUAGAGCACUGUUUGGACGAGGGGCCCCUCUCGGGUUACCGAAUUCAGACAAACUCCGAAUGCC
rnacentral:rRNA from 1 species